GACGAACGCUGGCGGCGCGCCUAACACAUGCAAGUCGAACGAGCGAGAGAGAGCUUGCUUUCUCGAGCGAGUGGCGAACGGGUGAGUACCGCGUGAGGAACCUGCCUCAAAGAGGGGGACAACAGUUGGAAACGACUGCUAAUAACGCAUAAGCCCACCGCUCGGCAUCGAGCAGGGGGCAAAGGCGCAAUCCGCUUUGAGAGGGCCUCGGGUCCGAUUAGCUGGCUGGUGGGGUAAUGGCCCACCAAGGGGACGAUCGGUGGCCGGACGGGGAGGUUGAAGGGCCACUUUGGAACUGGGACACGGCCCAGACUCCUACGGGAGGCAGCAGGGGGGAAUAUUGCACAAUGGGGGAAACCCUGAUGCAGCGAGGCGGGGUGGAGGAAGAAGGUCUUCGGAUUGUAAACUCUUGUUGUAGGGGAAGAUAAUGACGGUACCCAACAAGGAAGUGACGGCUAACUACGUG
rnacentral:rRNA from 1 species